UCAAAAACGGUUCUGGAGAACGCUAACUUUGGAAGUUAGAGAAUGGCGGUUGAGUCAUUUUUGAA
rnacentral:tRNA from 1 species